rnacentral:rRNA from 1 species
CGGCGUCGAGCGGCGGACGGGUGAGUAAUGCCUAGGAAAUUGCCCUGAUGUGGGGGAUAACCAUUGGAAACGAUGGCUAAUACCGCAUGAUGCCUACGGGCCAAAGAGGGGGACCUUCGGGCCUCUCGCGUCAGGAUAUGCCUAGGUGGGAUUAGCUAGUUGGUGAGGUAAGGGCUCACCAAGGCGACGAUCCCUAGCUGGUCUGAGAGGAUGAUCAGCCACACUGGAACUGAGACACGGUCCAGACUCCUACGGGAGGCAGCAGUGGGGAAUAUUGCACAAUGGGCGCAAGCCUGAUGCAGCCAUGCCGCGUGUGUGAAGAAGGCCUUCGGGUUGUAAAGCACUUUCAGUCGUGAGGAAGGUGGUAGUGUUAAUAGCACUAUCAUUUGACGUUAGCGACAGAAGAAGCACCGGCUAACUCCGUGCCAGCAGCCGCGGUAAUACG